rnacentral:tRNA from 2 species
AAGUAAGAAACAAAAUAUUGUAUUUAGUUUCGACCUAACCUUUGGUUUAAUAAAUAAACCCUUACUUU